rnacentral:rRNA from 1 species
GUGGGGAAUAUUGGGCAAUGGGCGCAAGCCUGACCCAGCAACGCCGCGUGAAGGAAGAAGGCUUUCGGGUUGUAAACUUCUUUUACCAGGGACGAAACAAAUGACGGUACCUGGUGAAUAAGCCACGGCUAACUACGUGCCAGCAGCCGCGGUAAUACGUAGGUGGCGAGCGUUAUCCGGAUUUAUUGGGUGUAAAGGGCGUGUAGGCGGGACAGCAAGUCAGAUGUGAAAACCAGAGGCUCAACCUCUGGCCUGCAUUUGAAACUGUUGUUCUUGAGUGUCGGAGAGGUAAUCGGAAUUCCGUGUGUAGCGGUGAAAUGCGUAGAUAUACGGAGGAACACCAGUGGCGAAGGCGGAUUACUGGACGAUAACUGACGCUGAGGCGCGAAAGCGUGGGGAGCAAACAGGAUUAGAUACCCUUGUAGUCC